AUUGAACGCUGGCGGCAUGCUUCACACAUGCAAGUCGAACGGUAACAGGCCGCAAGGUGCUGACGAGUGGCGAACGGGUGAGUAAUGCAUCGGAACGUGCCCAGUCGUGGGGGAUAACUAUCCGAAAGGAUAGCUAAUACCGCAUACGAUCUGCGGAUGAAAGCGGGGGACCUUCGGGCCUCGCGCGAUUGGAGCGGCCGAUGUCAGAUUAGGUAGUUGGUGGGGUAAAGGCUCACCAAGCCAACGAUCUGUAGCUGGUCUGAGAGGACGACCCGCCACACUGGGACUGAGACACGGCCCAGACUCCUACGGGAGGCAGCAGUGGGGAAUUUUGGACAAUGGGCGCAAGCCUGAUCCAGCAAUGCCGCGUGCAGGAAGAAGGCCUUCGGGUUGUAAACUGCUUUUGUACGGAACGAAACGGCUCUGGUUAAUACCUGGGGCUAAUGACGGUACCGUAAGAAUAAGCACCGGCUAACUACGUGCCAGCCGCCGCGGUAA
rnacentral:rRNA from 1 species